CUGGGCAGAGAUGCCUUUAGCAGGGGUCUUAGAGGUGUACAGGAGUGAAUGUUUGCUGGGAGAGAGCACUGAGGACCCUGACUAGGCAAGCGCUGUAAGAAACUCAAAGUACAAUGUCCCUUGAGUCUAUGGACGGAGCAGCACUAUCUGCAGGGUCCUGCUCUCUUAUUCCCAGUACUACAGGAGAGCUCAGAGGUAUCAGGAGUCUGGGAACCAAAGCCCUGCCUUGGCCAGAUGCAACCCCCUGGUAACAAGGCACAGAAAACAAGCUCAUCCUCUGGCAAGAAAGAUGGAGCAUCCCGUGGAAUCACACUGUUAAUUGCAACCAACAAAGCAGGCUCUCCAGUACCAGAAGGACACCAACUGGAGUGAGUCCAGCUGAGGCCAUCAAGGUGACCAGGAGCCUGCAGCACAGGAUGCGCACAGAGAGACUGGGAGUGCUGGGUUUGUCCAGCCAGAGGGAGGGAAAGCUGAAGGGAGACCUACAAGCUGGCUUCAAUGAAUUAAUCAUUAUACAGAAGACAGAGCCAGAUUAUUCUUGGAGGUAAAGGACAAGAGGCAACAGUCACAAAUCGUGUCAUAGAAAAUUCCAGUUAAGUAUUAAGAAAAACUUCUCCACAUGAGGGUAUGUUGGAACAGGGGAUCGGGAAGGUUGUGGGAGCUCCAUCCUUGCAGAUGUACAACACUGGAUGGAUAAGUCCUUGAGGUACCUGAUCCAAAACUUGAAGUUAGCCCUGCUUUGAGUGUGUGUAUGGGAUGGACUUUGAAAAGUCACUUCGUUCUUCUUCGGUUCUAAUAUUAUCUCACUCCCUGCCUCUGUUCUGGAGUGUUCAACUGUGUGCUUCCAUGACCAGUGUGACAGAGGAGCCAGCUGUGUGCAUGGUGGAAUACAGUUGGCCAUCUAUGUUUGAGAAGAGCGUUUUGUCCCUGACCAUCUUUUAUUUUAAUUCAGGCACAGACAUGGAAAGCAAUGGCUUUGUAAUAAAGAAGUGACCUCUCAAUAGAGAUCUCUUACUGUUCAUUGAAAAACCGGAUUUCUGUCCCAUGGGAAAUUCUGGUAUUUUCGUAUUUGUUUUCAUCUCAAAUUGGAACACAUAGUUCCUAAAAAGAAUUGAUUUGCAAAUGUCAGAGCAUUUCAUGUUGACAUUUUGAGCUAAAAUGAAAGAGUUUUGCUUGAAUCAGGUCAUCAUUCACGUCUGCCUGAACAGCCCCAUGCUCACAGGAGCUGUAGCUUUGCUUCCUGUGAUCCCAGACAAACCCACCACUGCCUGAACUGUUUCUACCAUAAUGUGCCCUUAUUUCUUCCAGCAGCUGAGUUGCUUGGAGGAAUCACAAGUCUCCCAGAUGGCAGUGUGCUGGCUCAAGCAGAUGUAGAACAAAACAAGAACCAUCGGUUUUCUCUUUGGAACG